AAAUUGAAGAGUUUGAUCAUGGCUCAGAUUGAACGCUGGCGGCAGGCCUAACACAUGCAAGUCGAGCGGUAGCACAGAGAGCUUGCUCUCGGGUGACGAGCGGCGGACGGGUGAGUAAUGUCUGGGAAACUGCCUGAUGGAGGGGGAUAACUACUGGAAACGGUAGCUAAUACCGCAUAACGUCGCAAGACCAAAGUGGGGGACCUUCGGGCCUCAUGCCAUCAGAUGUGCCCAGAUGGGAUUAGCUAGUAGGUGGGGUAACGGCUCACCUAGGCGACGAUCCCUAGCUGGUCUGAGAGGAUGACCAGCCACACUGGAACUGAGACACGGUCCAGACUCCUACGGGAGGCAGCAGUGGGGAAUAUUGCACAAUGGGCGCAAGCCUGAUGCAGCCAUGCCGCGUGUGUGAAGAAGGCCUUCGGGUUGUAAAGCACUUUCAGCGGGGAGGAAGGCGUUAAGGUUAAUAACCUUGGCGAUUGACGUUACCCGCAGAAGAAGCACCGGCUAACUCCGUGCCAGCAGCCGCGGUAAUACGGAGGGUGCAAGCGUUAAUCGGAAUUACUGGGCGUAAAGCGCACGCAGGCGGUCUGUCAAGUCGGAUGUGAAAUCCCCGGGCUUAACCUGGGAACUGCAUUCGAAACUGGCAGGCUAGAGUCUUGUAGAGGGGGGUAGAAUUCCAGGUGUAGCGGUGAAAUGCGUAGAGAUCUGGAGGAAUACCGGUGGCGAAGGCGGCCCCCUGGACAAAGACUGACGCUCAGGUGCGAAAGCGUGGGGAGCAAACAGGAUUAGAUACCCUGGUAGUCCACGCCGUAAACGAUGUCGAUUUGGAGGUUGUGCCCUUGAGGCGUGGCUUCCGGAGCUAACGCGUUAAAUCGACCGCCUGGGGAGUACGGCCGCAAGGUUAAAACUCAAAUGAAUUGACGGGGGCCCGCACAAGCGGUGGAGCAUGUGGUUUAAUUCGAUGCAACGCGAAGAACCUUACCUGGUCUUGACAUCCACAGAACUUUCCAGAGAUGGAUUGGUGCCUUCGGGAACUGUGAGACAGGUGCUGCAUGGCUGUCGUCAGCUCGUGUUGUGAAAUGUUGGGUUAAGUCCCGCAACGAGCGCAACCCUUAUCCUUUGUUGCCAGCGGUUCGGCCGGGAACUCAAAGGAGACUGCCAGUGAUAAACUGGAGGAAGGUGGGGAUGACGUCAAGUCAUCAUGGCCCUUACGACCAGGGCUACACACGUGCUACAAUGGCAUAUACAAAGAGAAGCGACCUCGCGAGAGCAAGCGGACCUCAUAAAGUAUGUCGUAGUCCGGAUUGGAGUCUGCAACUCGACUCCAUGAAGUCGGAAUCGCUAGUAAUCGUAGAUCAGAAUGCUACGGUGAAUACGUUCCCGGGCCUUGUACACACCGCCCGUCACACCAUGGGAGUGGGUUGCAAAAGAAGUAGGUAGCUUAACCUUCGGGAGGGCGCUUACCACUUUGUGAUUCAUGACUGGGGUGAAGUCGUAACAAGGUAACCGUAGGGGAACCUGCGGUUGGAUCACCUCCUUA
rnacentral:rRNA from 1 species